GUGUGGCGUGUAUGAAGCUGCGCGGAGGGCGGCGACUUACUCGGAGAAGGGCGUGGCACGGGCCGGGUCAAGCUGCGCGCGUCCGCGGCGAGCUAGUCGGAGAAGGGUGAGGGCGAGUUCUGUUUGCUCUGAAGUCACAGGUUCCGCGGUGGGUGAUCCUACACCGAGUACACGAGGUAAUCGCACAAAUCUCAACCUCUAACGCUCGAUUCUCUUUCCUGCAACAUCUCCUUAGCGAUUUUUAGUCCGUAGUUCGUAGGUUGUGGGGGAUUCAACUCGAGUUCCGCGGCGGUGGUGCCUACUGCAAUUAUGCGAGUUAAUGUGACAAAUCUCCGCCUGUAAUGCACGAUUCUCACGAUUCUCUCUUGUACUAGUAAUUCUCAUAGGCGAUCUGUAGUUCUUCAUUUGUAGGCUGUGUCGAAUUCAACUCGUGGUACGUACGAUGUACUAAGUAGCAAGGUAUGCUCUGUGGAUUUUCUUUGUUGCACAUCUCCUUGUGAUUUAGAAGUCCUCAUAGUGCCAUGAUGAUGCUUGCUCCUAUGUGAUAGCUCAAGUCUACAGUAGUCACUUGCCUGGAACAAGUAGCAAGCUAUGUAGGUUGUAGCAAGGCAUGCAGGAAGUUCUCUAUAGUGCUAAUAUUUCUGGAUUUUUUUCACGUCUGCCAUGAUAAUCCUUGCUCAUAUGUUUGUACUGAAGGGAUUUUUAGCAUGUACCAUGCUCAUCUCAUGUUCAAACACCAGGAUGGUUUCAUAUGUCGUUGAUCUAAAAUUAGUACCAUAUACUAGACAACAUGUUUUAAAAUGGGGUUGAUAUGGGUGAGAAUUAUGUAGUUUCCCUGUUUGUUCUUUGAUGGCAUGAAAUAAGUUAAUCAUAUAUGCUUAAUGAAGUUGUUUUACCUAUCAUUAAGUUGGCUAGUGAAACUGAAGAUGUUGGUUCUAACACUGUGCUUAAGUUGUCUUCUCUAAAAUGUUUGUCCGACACUAUGUUUCACUAAGUUGGUUUCCUGUCAGUAACUAAGUUUGUUCUUGAUUGUGCCUAAGUUGGCUAAUGAAUUUAGUUAUCAUGUUUUUCUCUCAUACCAUGUUGGUCAAUACCUAAGUUGGUUCUUGAUUGUGCCUAAGUUGGCUAGUUAACUUAAUUAUCUUGUUUCCUCUCAUACCUUGUUGGUCAAAGUUGGUUUACUCGCGGUACCUAAGUUGGCUAGUGAACUUAAUUAUCCUGUUUGUCUCUCAUACCAUGUUGGUCAAAGUUGGUUUAUUCGCAGUACCUAAGUUGGUUCUAGAUUGUGCCUAAGUGUGCUACUGUCAUCAAUUACUCUAUUUUUGACUCAUACCAUGUUGGGCUAAGUUGGUCUUUCUUCGACACCUAAUUUGGUUCUAGAUUGUAUCUAAGUUGGCUACUGUCAUCAAUUACUAUGUUUUUGACUCAGACCAUGUUGGGCUAAGCUGGUCUCAACUUAGCUCCACUAGGUAUUCCCCACCUCCACCAGGUAUCCGUUGGAGGUGUCCCCAACGUAGCUCCAGGCGCCUCUGCCCUGACCUCCUCCUCAAGCAGCUCCGGCCGGAAACUUCAACCUCCCGCUCGUUUCGAAUCACCAGCUCAAGGUAAGGCCACCCCGCAUCCGGCCAGUGCACCUAGUGUCGCACCAUGCCCUCCCUGUGUGCGGGGAGGAGCAGCUGCAUGUUGUAGCGACUACAUCGACAUCCAUCGCCAGUAGCAGCAUUAGCUUCAGAAACUUCGGUAACAACAGCAAUUUCAGAAACAACAGCGACCUUGCCUUGAUGAACAUACAUAUGCUGGAUUGUUAGGUAAUUUUGUGUCAAAUUGUUUCUACAAAUAGCUCUCAACUUGGAUCUGUGUUGGCAUGACCAUAAUGUUUUGAGCGUGAAACAACUCUUAUGAAUGUUUUAUGUUUCAUGAAGUUGAAUCCAUGGUGAGCUACAGUGAACAUGAUGUUAAGCUCGACAUAAAUGUCUUACUCGUAAGCAGGUUUGACAUGAUUAUUUUACUUUUAACGGGCAAAUUAUGAACUAGUGAGGCUUACUUGAGUGGUUAGUUCAGGCCAAGAACGUAGAUGCAUGCCCCAGGGGAGAAAACAUUAUCUUCUCAUUUGCGCUUUAGAAAAUUGUGGUGUCUCUUGUAGCUGGCACUAUGGUGUAUUCACAUGUUUCCCGUUAUUAGUAUUAGUUGAUAAUCAGUACUGAUAGCUGAGUUUUCCGUACAUUGUUUUGUCUAUCAAUAUUAUCUACAGACAUUACCCGUCCAGUACCAAUUCAGUUGCAAAUGCUGCCAGAUAAUUAUCAUACUUGCAAAGUGUAUAAUGAACCAAGAAACAUUACACAUAAGGAUCUUAUGGUAUAUCACCUGCUUGUGUUUCCCGCAGGGUGAAGUUGUUGUGUCAACAUGUUGCUUUUAGUAGUAGGAAUUAGUUCAAUUUCAGAUGGAGGUAGAUCAUGGACCCAUCAGAGAUGUGUAGAUGCCCAUGUUCUUAGGUUGGUUAUACAGUCAGUCAUUUUUUGUGUUUGUUUCAUCAUGCAAUCUAGUGAUCCAUGCAUAAACCAUGAGCUAAGUAACAGUUUUUGGUUGCUAAUUUCAUAUUAAAUCACCAAGUAGUUUUUGUUAGGUUUCAUAGAACAGGGGAGCAUGAUUUUUGAGUCGCGACUCAAAAGUGAGUCGUCGAGGCUACGACUCAGUGUAUAGUCGACCAAAGUCGCUGUAUAGUCGCGAGUCGCCGUGAUUUUUGGAAAACGACUUGGCGACUAUACAUCGACUAUUCAGCGACUAUACAGUGACUCAAAAACCAUUCAGGGGAGGUGUUUUUAGCUUCCAUUUAGAAUGUUUCAUACAACACAAGGGAGGUGUUUUCUGCUUCCAUCGUCUUCUAUAUUAAUUAAGUUGCUUUUGACAACAUGCAUAAGUUACCUUUAUCAUCUCACUAAGUUGGUUCUAUCAUCUAAACUAACUUGAGUACAGUCAGUGGUCCUAGUUACAUAUGUUUUAAGUUGCUUUAUUGUAAGCAUGAUUUAAAUUGUCAACAAUGCCUCAUGUUUCCUAUUAAUAUGGCUAAGUUUUUGAGUUACACCAAAUGACCCUAAGUGGUAUACCUAUUUAAUUAACUUGCUGCUUGUCAUCAGGCUAAGUUGUUUUCUUGGGCUAGAUAAGUUGUUUUACAUAACCUAACUAAGUUGCUUUUCCACAAUGCAUUUAAUUUUUUGAUUUGAACAACCAAUAUUGUUCCUUAGCUUAAUAAUGAAUUUUAAUUAGAAACUUGCUUUUCUAGGAGACAAACUUGAAAUCCAAUAACAUGAAAGACAAAACAAAAAACAAGCAUUCUCGCCUGCGUUUACCAGAAGUUGAUGCAGCGACAAGGAACCAUCCAGGGCCUUGUCCGAUAACUUGUCAGCAGGUACUUAUUUGUGAUAUUGCUAAGUUGUACCGGGAAGCGGUGGAUCCCGGGCAGCGUAGCUAGUACCAUCUCGAGCGCGGUGGUGGAGGAGGCCAUGGUGCCUAGUUCGAGCAAGUAUGGGCAGCGGCGUAGCUAGUACCAUCUCGAGCGUGGUGGUGGAGGAGGCCAUGGUGCCUAGUUCGAGCAGGUGGCGACGCCCACGAUGCCUAGUGAGAGCGCACGCCCACCGUGGUCCUUGACCAAUGAGGUGAUCAUGUGUUGUUUUCUGAUCUACAUAAGUCGAAGUUUUUAGUCAAAUCUGGAGGAGGAAGAAGAGCCGAAGUAGUAUGUCUUGCUGAACAGUAUCUAGAAGUGGAAGAAAAGCUGGAGUAAUUCGCAGAGUGAUCACGCGCUUUGAUGUCUGCUGAUUUUCUCUUACAUGUAACUACCUUUUUCCUAGUCGGAUGCUGAAUUGGUCAAACUAGCACUGAGAUGCUUGGUCGGACAAGCUGGCACCCGGAUGCUGGGAUGGACAAACCAGCACCGGAUGCUGCCUA